rnacentral:rRNA from 1 species
AACAAACGCUGGCGGCGUGCCUAAUACAUGCAAGUCGAACGGGGAAAGCUUUCGGGUGAGUACUAGUGGCGCACGGGUGAGUAACGCGUGGAUAAUCUGCCUUAGAGUGGGGGAUAACUAGUCGAAAGAUUAGCUAAUACCGCAUAAGACCACAAGAACUGCGGUUCAAGGGGUCAAAGGUUUUUCGCUCUAAGAUGAGUCCGCGUAAGAUUAGCUAGUUGGUAGGGUAACGGCCUACCAAGGCGACGAUCUUUAGCUGGUCUGAGAGGAUGAUCAGUCACAAUGGAACUGAGACACGGUCCAGACUACUACGGGAGGCAGCAGUAGGGAAGAUUGCACAAUGGAGGAAACUCUGAUGCAGCGACGCCGCGUGAGUGAUGAAGGCCUUCGGGUCGUAAAGCUCUGUCGCAGGGGAAUAACACAAUGAAGGUACCCUGUAAGAAAGGAUCGGCUAACUUCGUGCCAGCCGCCGCCGUAACAC